CCUACGGGAGGCAGCAGUGGGGAAUUGUUCGCAAUGGGCGCAAGCCUGACGACGCAACGCCGCGUGGAGGAUGAAGGUCUUCGGAUUGUAAACUCCUGUUGCCCGGGACGCGGUACCGGGUGAGGAAGCCCCGGCUAACUCUGUGCCAGCAGCCGCGGUAAUACAGAGGGGGCAAGCGUUGUUCGGAAUUACUGGGCGUAAAGGGCGCGUAGGCGGCCUGCUAAGUCGAACGUGAAAUCCCUGGGCUCAACCCAGGAACUGCGUCCGAUACUGGUUGGCUUGAAUCCGGGAGAGGGAUGCGGAAUUCCAGGUGUAGCGGUGAAAUGCGUAGAUAUCUGGAGGAACACCGGUGGCGAAGGCGGCAUCCUGGACCGGAUUGACGCUGAGGCGCGAAAGCCAGGGGAGCAAACGGGAUUAGAUACCCUAGUAGUC
rnacentral:rRNA from 1 species